ACAGGUUUCCUCUAAUUGAAGACCUUCCAAACGUUUUAGGUCGGUAGUGUCCCUCGUGUAAGAUGGUAGGGCAGUGACGAAGGGGGCCAAAAUGUGAUCAGUGUAGAUACCAAGAUUUUGACACAAGUGACCUAUGCCGGACACCAUCAGUCUCCCCUUCAGGGGCGAAAGCCCCUCACGGAUUUUGGAGAGACAGUAAAACGUGGACCUACGAGGAUGUGAAAUUACAUGAGAAUCUCUAGCCUCAUCCAAAAUAGAUUUAAGUUCACGCCUAUAUACAUCCGUGGGGUCCCUACCAAGAAUCUCAUAAGUCUCGCGGUCAGAUAGCAAAGAUUGACACACAUUCUUAUAUUGCUCCGAGUCCAUGACCACAAUAUUACCCCCCUUAUCCGCCGGUUUGACUGUGAUAGAGGGGUCAUUAGACUGUUGACAUGGCAGUGGUCACCGAUAAUCUGAGGUCUUCCAGGUCUUUGGUGACCAUAUUCAGGAAGAGGUCAAUACAAGACACUUCACCAGAGCUUGGUGCCAUUUUGGUACUUUUCAGUUUUAGAUUGGUAACAGGGCCAUGGCCCGAAGUGGAGUUAUCCUCCGUGUCCAAGGAGUGUAGCAGUUGUACCUCAGCUAAUAGGUCCAUAGGAAUCCCUAGUUCAAGACAUUGGCGUCUGUCCAUGUGUUUGAAAUGUUUGUACCGACUCACUUUGCCGACAAAGAGAUUAAGAUCUUUAACUACAAGGACGUGAAGACAGAUUAACCACCUGUGGACCAGGGGUUAUGUGGGAGGCAGUUGUGUACGGCUGCGGAGUGGAUAUUCUAGGGUCUGAUUGGGUUGCCCUAAAAAACGUGUGUCACGUCCCCGAUAGGAGCCCCAAGAGCGACCCCCGUCUCGGGUGCCUGUUACUCUUGGGGCCUGUCUCCCGUUCCGAGUCAGAAAAGCCAGUCUCAGUGGAGUUUUAUAUUACCGGCAGAGCUCGGGGGCCCCAUCUGUUGCCGUCUCAUCCUGUUUUAUCUGA